CCGCUCGCGCGCCUCUGAGAGGCUGUCCGCGCGCGCGCGUGUGUGCGUGAGUGUGGAUUUGCCGGGACUGGAGCUGGAAAGUUCAAACUAAACGUGUUGCUCUCGCCGAGUGCCGAGGCCGCGGCGGAGGCUGCCCAACUUCCCCGGGCCAAGUGAGUGGCGUUGCCCAGCGCCUUUGGCGAGGCGGCGGCCGCUCGGCCCUGCGCCCGGCCGCGGCGGCGGCGGCUCCGCUCGCCCCGGGAGGGAGCCCGCGGCCAGGGCUGGACUCUCGCCCCGCCACCUCCACCGACUCUCUCCUCAGCCUCCGCGCCUGGCACCGCAGCAAGACUUGAAUGAAGUGAUCAUGUAAACUAGAGAAAGGAGAUUAAAAAUAACCUCUGGAUAUUCCUCUCAUGUGAUCUUUAUUCUGGAUGAAGCAUUAGGACAGCUAAUAGCCGUGUGUCACUGUUACAAUGUCUUUGAUCCUGUGAAUGGCAAGGAAACAUACAACCUCAGGGGGAAAUUCAGACAGAGAAGGUAU
rnacentral:lncRNA from 1 species